AGGACGAACGCUGGCGGCGUGCCUAACACAUGCAAGUCGAACGCUGUCCAUUCGGUGGCAACACUGAUGAAGACGGAGUGGCGAACGGGUGAGUAGCACGUGAGCAACCUGCCCCGAAGACCGGGACAACACCGGGAAACCGGUGCUAAUACCGGAUGCCCCCACCGGGCCGCAUGACCUGGUGAGGAAAUGGAUUCCGCUUCGGGAGGGGCUCGCGACCUAUCAGCUAGUUGGUGGGUAAUGGCCUACCAAGGCGUCGACGGGUAGCUGGUCUGAGAGGACGAUCAGCCACACUGGGACUGAGACACGGCCCAGACUCCUACGGGAGGCAGCAGUGGGGAAUCUUGCGCAAUGGGCGAAAGCCUGACGCAGCAACGCCGCGUGGGGGACGAAUGCUUUCUGAGUUGUAAACCCCUUUCAGCAGGAACGAUUGUGACGGUACCUGCAGAAGAAGCACCGGCCAACUACGUGCCAGCAGCCGCGGU
rnacentral:rRNA from 1 species